GACGAACCGUGCGAACGUUGUUCGGAAUCACUGGGCUUAAAGGGCGCGUAGGCGGGUUUGCAAGUCUGCGGUGAAAGCCUCCAGCUUAACUGGAGAAGUGCCGUGGAUACUGCGGAUCUCGAGGAGGGUAGGGGCAUCUGGAACGGUCGGUGGAGCGGUGAAAUGCGUUGAUAUCGACCGGAACUCCGGUGGCGAAGGCGAGGUGCUGGACCCUUUCUGACGCUGAGGCGCGAAAGCCAGGGGAGCGAACGGG
rnacentral:rRNA from 1 species